UGGGAGCUGUGUGUCUGUCCGCGAGUCUGAGCACCUAGCCCUCCCGGGCCAUUCUGGGUCUGAUGGGGCAAGUCCCUCCGCUAGAAGCUUUUCCUGGCACUUCCUCAUUUCAGCCCAGUGGAGUCCGGAGGAGAGACGUGGGGUCUCCUUUCCCAUGGAGUCCACCUGCGGCCCGACACCACCAGGAUUCUCCUAGUUCCACCCCUAAUUUCUGGGGCCAGAGUUUGUUCUCCUGCUGUGGUACACAACCAGAAGCAGAACCAGAAGUACAACCAGAAGCAGAACCUCCGCUCAGCCCCUGGGUAAAAAUCUACUUUGGGGUGCCGGCAAAGCUCUGCACAAAUAUUUUAUUCAUUCCUCUCUUUGGGAUAUCAAAUCAAGUCAAUAAAGCCCGGCCUGGGCCUCUGUGGUUCACACCACAAAACCAGAAGAAGCAUCUGCUCAAGGCUGAGACUCGAGUGGGGCACAUGAAGUGCUCACCCUCAGAGUCUGCAACUGAGGGUGAGCGCCUCCUUAAAUUCUCCCCUCAGAGCCUCCCUGCCUCACCCUAGUCCCGACUGCAGGCAAAUCUGAGGGCUGCUGUUCACCAGCUGUCUGGCCUUGGUCCAUGGCUGUCCCCAUGCUGGCAUUAUUUCCCCACCUGACUAUGAAGAGGCUGAAUUCGAUGUUCUCUAAGAUUUUCUCCAGCUCUGAGGUGCUACAGUUUGUGGGUAUCAUAGAUGCCAAAUUUGUAUGCCUGCUACACUGCUUACUAACUGUGACACUGGGCAGUCACUUAACAUGUUUCCCUAUCAGUAAAAUGGGAAUGAUGAUAGUGCUGUGAGCUGUGUGAGGAUUAAACCACAUAAUGCACCGAAGCACAGUUACUGACACAGAGUAGCACUUGACUACUGUGAGCAAUUAAUACUGCACAAGGUAGGGUUUUGCAUAUCUUUCCUUCAUCUUCACAUUCCCAUUUUCAUUAUGAGUUGCGAUCCCCACCAUGCCCCACAACCCUCCCUCUACCUGGUAGCCAUCCACUUAUAAGUCUCAGACUUUAGUUCUGAUAGGUUUGGGAAGGUAGACAGGUCUUCCCAUCUCAUCCCAUCUCAAUGAGCAAUAAAUAGGAAGCAACUCCCACCCUCUUCUCUCACACACUCACACCUGCCAGGCUUGAAUUGUGUGUCUGAGGAUUGCUGGCCCCUCCACGCUGGGCUAGGGAUUGUCU
rnacentral:lncRNA from 1 species